GAUGAACGCUAGCGGCAGGCUUAACACAUGCAAGUCGAGGGGUAUAGUUCUUCGGAACUAGAGACCGGCGCACGGGUGCGUAACGCGUAUGUAAUCUACCUUUUACAGGGGGAUAGCCCAGAGAAAUUUGGAUUAAUACCCCAUAGUAUGUUGUGGUGGCAUCACUAUAACAUUAAAGUUCCAACGGUAAAAGAUGAGCAUGCGUCCCAUUAGCUAGAUGGUAAGGUAACGGCUUACCAUGGCUACGAUGGGUAGGGGUCCUGAGAGGGAGAUCCCCCACACUGGUACGGAGACACGGACCAGACUCCUACGGGAGGCAGCAGUGAGGAAUAUUGGACAAUGGGCGCAGGCCUAAUCCAGCCAUGCCGCGUGCAGGACGACUGCCCUAUGGGUUGUAAACUGCUUUUGUACGGGAAUAACCCUCUCUACGAGUAGAGGGCUGAACGUACCGUAAGAAUAAGGAUCGGCUAACUCCGUGCCAGCAGCCGCCGUAA
rnacentral:rRNA from 1 species